AAGGCGAGACGCCGCGGGAAAAGCGGUCCUGUUAGGUGGUCCAGGUGGUUUGGGGCUGAGGCCGUCUCCUCAAGAGUAACUGCGGGCCUGUGCUACGGUCACGCCUCCGGCCUCCGUUUCCUUUAGCCUUCUCUCUCACCAAACGAUUUUCCUGUCCAGUUGUAAAGUGCAAGUUGUUUCCCCAAGGAUGUGCAUUUUGGAUCAACACCUGUGGGAAAUGAGCUGUACUGCAUCCCAACAAAGACCUCAGCCAACCCCAUAGCUGAGAUGGAGCAAUAGAGACCAGAUGUACCUUUCCCAGCUGCAACAACUAAAAAGACAAGACAAAAUAUAUUAAAGAAUGAUUCUUGAGACACUGGACACCACACAGUAAAGAACAGUGAUCCCUGAGAGAUGAGAAACAAAUAAGAUCUUGGAAUGCUCCAGUCUUUUUGCAAAGUCGAUGAGUGGCUUCAGCACUGGGGAAGAAGCCCGAAAGGUGACCAGAUGGAACCUGCAUUCACAGUCUUCAAAGUUCCCUUUUGAAACAUAAGGAAGAGAAUGAAGGGGAGAAGGAUUUCAAACUUUCGGGCUUACAAUCUGAAGGUGUCCGUUCCUACACUGGUCAGACCACUGUCCUUGGGGCAGCUGGGGUCUUUGGGACCCUCCACCGGGCUCGCCGGUCCGUCGGACUUUUGGCUGAGAUCCGUGUCAGACUCCUCCGAAUAGUCGUCUGUUGGCAUCGAGGGCUGAACCCCUGAGGUGCUGCAUGAACUUGAGAGCGCGCUCUCGCACGCCAGGCAGUGGUACGAGCCGCCGCCGCCGCCGCCCGUGGGGACGUGAAGCACCAUCUCUUGCAGGUUCACCACAGACUGGCCGAAGAAGCAGAGGGACUUCAGGUGGCUCCUCGCCGCCUCCUCGUCACUGAAGCCCGCCUGGCACUUGGGGCAGACCAACUUGUACUGCACCUUUGGAACAAUGAAGGGGUCGUAGAGGGAGUCCGCACUUUUGCUUUCUGCUUCUGGCUCUUCGGGGGGUUUCGGCAGGAGGGGGGACACCUCACGGGGUGCGUUUUUCUGCUCUUCUGGUCUGGGGGAUUCUUUGGCAGGGUCUUUGUCUGGGGAAGCAGCCCCCUGGGGGACUGGGGUUUGGCUUGCUUUGGGCUGCUGCUGCACUUUUUGCUGCUGCUGCUGCUGCAGCUGCCGCUGCUGCUGCUGCUGGAUGGCCUCCUGCAGACUCUGCUGGUAUUGCUGGUACUGCUGCAGUAGGGAGCCCGGGGACAGCCCCAUCAGGGCCUGUGACAGCGCAGGGCUGUAGGGGAACAGGCCUUCCAUGCCGUACAUAGGCUGCAGGUAUCCGCUCUGCAGGGCGCCGGGGAUCUGGGGGGCAUAAUAAGGAGAGAAGCCUGGUACAAAGUAAGGGAGGAACUGGCUCGUGAGCAACGCUGUGGGGUCCGAAGUCAAGGCUGCCUGCAGGGCCUGCAGCUGCGCAGGGUCCACUGCAUACUCCAUGGCGGGCAGCGGUGCUGAGAUCGUGGCUGCGGCCGCCGUGGGGGCCUCUCCUUUCUCCUUCUUGGGGAUGGGCAGGGGUUCCCCUUUCCCUUUGUGUGCCUUUUCCUUCUCCUUUCCCUUCUCACCGUCUCUGUCCUUGCGUUGCUGUUGCUGCUGCUGCGGCGGGAGCUGUGGCGCAGGUGGCGGCUGGGCUGCUGGCGGCGGCGGCGGCUGCACCUGCGGCGGCUGCGGUUGGGGGCUUGGCAGAGGGGCCGUCGCCGCGGGGGCCUGUGCUGGGGUCGGGGAGCUCAGCGACGCUGAGGGCGGUUUAUUUGGUAAUCCAGACGUGGGGAGGCCGGGGGAAGGAACUGUUGUGCUGGGCAGACCCAUCAAGUUCGGUUUAGGAGACGUUAAAGCUGAAAGGAAUGGAGACAGAGAAAUCACGUGUCAGUCUGGGGUGCUGAGGCUAGUGCUCAAGAUGUUCCACCUGUGUCACUGGCACAGAGUCUAAGAGCUCAAGGUUUGAACUUAGAGGAUCCUGUUGAUCCAGUGGCUUUCCCGCCAGGCCCUGGUUGGAUAGCCUGUAUUCUAAUCCAGACCCAGCCCUGGGUCAGCUCCCAUACCUCUCAUACCAACUAAACAACUUCCAACACCUUCCUGCCCACCAUGCCACACCCAUCCCACUCGGUCAUGUUUUCUCUGCUGCGCUCCCAACUCUGCCCAAGGCAGUUAGUGUGGAGACCCCCAGGCUAGCUGCUGCCAGCUGGGACCCAUCUGAACCGAUGGCCUUCAUCAAAAGCCCCACAGAAAUAGUACAGUCAAGAGGCCCCACCAGAAGCUGUCUGGAGAAGAGAGCAAAAGCAAGAAACCCGGCCAGGCACCAAGACCACCUGAACAAACACAACAGGCUCUACGCAUGUGCCUCUCUAACCUCCACUGCUGCAGGGUGAUGGAGGGCUGCUGCUGGUUCAUGAAGACUAGCAAGGUGGCGGAGAAGGACAACACUGACCACAUCCAAGACACUAGACGAUGCAGCGCUCCUGGGAGCUGUGGUACAGUCAGACGGUGGUAACUGGGGCGUGCCUGGCUGCUGUGAAUGAUUAAGAGCAUAUCUAUCUUCCUACCUGGAGUCCACUCUAAGUGGUCAUAUACCUGUUGACUGACUGGCUCGUACUGGGUGCUGUGGAAGGAGUACAUAGCACGGGGAGCCCGGCUCCUACCCUAGCUUGUUGAAUGGUCUUGACCUCUCUGGGCCUCAGUUUUCUCAUCUGUAAAACAAGGGGAAUAGAUCAGACAUUUUGAUUCUAAUAUUUUCACAUUAUUAUGAAAUGUUGGGCUUUCCCAAGCCCCUCUUCCAAGGUCCUGGGCUGCAAGGGAAGUUCAGUGCUCAGCCACUUUCCAUAGUCUCUUUCCUGGCUUAUGUCUAGCUGACUCUUAACAUCAUUCCGUGACAUUACUUGCCAACACAUGUAAGCAACGACUUCCACAUCUUAAUGCUUUCUUUUCUUGUUCUUUUCUUUGGAUAAGAAACUGGGAUCUGGAAUGAGGUAGCCCCUCAUGUUCUGUAAAACACUGCCAAAAUUAUAAAACUUGGAUUUAAUUCGACCAGGAACCAGGGCUGCUCUGGGAAGCAGCAGAAACACUUCAACCCCUGGGAACAGGGCCAUGUUUUGAAGUCUCACAGGCUCCUGGAGGUGAAAGUCCAAUUUAGGGAAGACAGCUGGAUCCAGAGAAGACGGGUGAGGGCAGAGGAGGAGGAACAAUAGAGGUGCACAGGAAGAACUGCGGCACUCCCUACGAAGUGGAAAAAUUACUACCAAAUAUCGAGAUGGGAAUCUGCAUUUCCACAAGGACUGAAUGGAAGGGUCUAUAAUGGAAACUGCUGUCUUGAAAAUACCCCAGGAUCUAGUAUGCCAGAACCCUGAAGUUCAUGCCUGUAACACACACCCUGGUGGUGUUACUGAACACCAGGCACGAGAAUGGUUUCAGGAGACCGUCCCAACCACAAGAUCCCCAUCCUUGAACUGAUAAGUCAAAGAGUCAUGUACACCAUAGCUCUAGGAAGACUCAGUGGAAGGGACCUGAGGUUUUAUUGCUGUUAGAGAACUUGAAAAAGGAAGUUUCCUAUCAGGCCAACGCUCAGAGGUUUUGUGCGACAGCCACAGAAGAAGCGCUAAUUGGGCGGCUAUUUAAUACUGGGAGAACCACCAAGAGCAGAACCCACCUGUGUUGGAUGGAGUAAAGCCUGGCAAGGAGGGGCUGUUGAGGCCGGGGAGUAACACAGGAGGAAUGCCCUGGAUUGCCGGAUAUGCCGUAGGAAGGUUGAGAGCCUGAAGAGGGGCGUUGUCAAACAUCCCUUGCUGCUGAGCUGCCAGUCCGAGGACCUCAUUGGCCUUUUUAAUCCGGUCCAACUCUUGUUGAGCCAUCAACUGACGUACAGUGGCUGGGUCAAAGUAUUCUUUCUCCUUGUCCAACUGGCUUCCAAUGGUGUCUUUAACUUUGGAGAUAUGCUGUUGGGAAAAGAUAUGGUCACGUACAGACAGCCGAGCGCUGUACUUGAUGCCACACAAAGUGCACUCUGUUUUGGGUCCCUCGUAACUUGUUUGGUUUAUACCAAAAUGCUUGGCCAUGCUUAACUUGGACUUCUUUUCUUUUGCCCGGGCAUUCUGGAACCAGACCUGAACCACUCUCUUUGGCAGUCCAAUGUCAUUGCCCAGGACUUCACACUCUAGCAUGGUGGGUGUCCUGUAGUCAUUAAAGCAUGACUUGAGGACCUUCAGCUGCAGAUUGGUCAUCUGAGUGCGAAAACGUUUCUGCCCAGGCCUAUCCCCACUGUCUCCAGAUUUGCCUGCUGACCCACUUGCACCAGGGCUUGGGGAGCAGGGGUCUGCAAGGCUCGAGGUUUCACUGUAGUCCACUGUACCUUCAUUGUCAUAUUCCUUGCUGUAAAAGCUCGGGGCUGGGCUGACCAGACCGGAUGACAACCGAUCUUCAUACUCGGACAUUGCCAUCAUGGCCGCUUUGGUCAACCCUUCACUGGGCGCGGAAGAGGAUUUGGUUUCAGUUGCUAUUCCCGUCGCACUGUCGUUAUCCGCAUUGCCCUCGUCUCCAGUAGUGGUAUCUGUGAUCGCUGUGUUGACUGAGGAACAGUCGUCGUUGUCCAGCUUAGUUUGGUCAAAGUUUAGAUUAACUGAGGACAUGGAAGGGCUUUCAAAGUCUUCAAUCCCUUCCACCUUGAUGGAAGAAGGGCUAAGAAGAGUUCUAGGAGACAACUCCAUGGUUUUGCUCACAGGGCUGGCACUGGCCUUUUCCUCCAGUUUCCUCUUCAGAGUGUUCAUCGUGGACGUGGGAGUUGAAGGGGAAGUGGCCGAGCUUGCCGGAAUCUGAGCCUCCAGCUUGGCUGCCCGGGCCUUGGUUUGAUGCAACACAGACCUCAUAUGGAUCUCCAGCGUGGAACUCUGGCUAUAGGCCACGUUACAAGUGUUACACUUGAAAGGUUUGUUGUCGGGGCUGCUGGUGGGUUCUGGCUGACCAGCUGCCGAUUCUUGAAGGGCUCUCUUCAACUUAUGCAGGUGGGAGACAGAAUUGUAGUGCACUAGCAGGAUGUUCUUCUGAGUGAACGAUUCCUUGCAGACGGUACACUUGUAAGGGCGAGAAGGGUCUAGAAACUUUUCCAUGGUGAAGUUGGGGCCUUUUCUGAAAGGCAGAGCUCUCUUGGGCUCUGAGCCCGAGUCUUCUUGUACCGACCCAGAGUCACUGCCCGUCGGGCUCUGUUUAUCCUCCAAGUCACUCUCUUCUUCCUUGUCUUCCUCAACGAUUAUGGUAUGGUCCUCAGCCAGGGUGGGGUCUCCCAUUGCCAGGAGGUCUCCAUUGGCCAGAAGGCCACCAUAAAGCUGCUGGAUGUCGGCCUCACUCAACUCCAGGUGGCUCGUCUCGAGGUGUUUUUUCAGAGCCUGGAAAGUUCGGAAACUGCGCUGACAGAGACAGCACAUGGUGGCAGCUCUGAUCACGUGGUACUGAGAGUGGAGCUGCAGCUUUUCCACGGUCUUGAAAGCCAGGCUGCACUGGUUGCAGCGGUACUUGUAGACGUGGCGAUCUGACACGGGCAGCUGAGGCCUCUUGGCAUGAACCUCGUUGAAGUGCGUCUGGAGAGUGGCGGAAGUUUUGAAAACCUGGUUGCACCCCUUCUUCCAGCACAGGAAGCCUGAAUCUUCUCUCACAGAGCCUGAGUCAGCAGGAGAGGGCUUCACAUCUCCACUGUGUUCUGUGCUGGCAGAGGGCAAGAUGUUCUUUCCCAGAUCAUCUGAGGUUUCUGAAAAAAAAAAAUCAAGCCCAAUGAUAAAGAAGGCUUAGAGCUGUCUACCCAGCAAGGCCUCGUGAACACAGAGUCUCAUGAUGAGGGAAAUAUCCAACCUGCAGACACACACUCUCCACAGAGACCCACACCGCUGAGAGCACGUGUUAUAUAAGCAGGUGCACAGGAACAGAGAGGAAGAAAAGGAAAUACAAAAAGUCUCAACUGCUAGUAGGCCUAUACCAUAGCACAAAUCUGUCUUCUAAACAAUAUUUGUUUCAAUUUCUCAAGAACUGGCUUGAAGGGAUACCCCCUUUACAUGGAUCUGAAUUACAGAAUAUGUGAAUUAAUGCUGUCCUAAGCUGUGGGGAAUUUGCAAGAACCGCUAUCCACUGUAAUAUAAGAAAUUUUGGGAUAUAUAUA